rnacentral:rRNA from 1 species
GGGGGACAGGGUGACAGGUGGUGCAUGGUUGUCGUCAGCUCGUGUCGUGAGAUGUUGGGUUAAGUCCCGCAACGAGCGCAACCCUCGACCUUAGUUGCCAGCAUUCAGUUGGGCACUCUAAGGUGACUGCCGGCUAAAAGUCGGAGGAAGGUGGGGAUGACGUCAAAUCAUCAUGCCCCUUAUGACCUGGGCUACACACGUGCUACAAUGGUUGGUACAACGAGUUGCGAGUCGGUGACGGCGAGCUAAUCUCUUAAAGCCAAUCUCAGUUCGGACUGUAGGCUGCAACUCGCCUACAUGAAGUCGGAAUCGCUAGUAAUCGCGGAUCAGCACGCCGCGGUGAAUACGUUCCCGGGCCUU